rnacentral:rRNA from 1 species
AGUGAACGCUGGCGGUAGGCCUAACACAUGCAAGUCGAACGGCAGCACAGAGGAGCUUGCUCCUUGGGUGGCGAGUGGCGGACGGGUGAGGAAUACAUCGGAAUCUACUCUGUCGUGGGGGAUAACGUAGGGAAACUCACGCUAAUACCGCAUACGACCUACGGGUGAAAGCAGGGGAUCUUCGGACCUUGCGCGAUUGAAUGAGCCGAUGUCGGAUUAGCUAGUUGGCGGGGUAAAGGCCCACCAAGGCGACGAUCCGUAGCUGGUCUGAGAGGAUGAUCAGCCACACUGGAACUGAGACACGGUCCAGACUCCUACGAGAGGCAGCAGUGGGGAAUAUUGGACAAUGGGCGCAAGCCUGAUCCAGCCAUACCGCGUGGGUGAAGAAGGCCUUCGGGUUGUAAAGCCCUUUUGUUGGGAAAGAAAUCCAUCUGGUUAAUACCCGGGUGGGAUGACGGUACCCAAAGAAUAAGCACCGGCUAACUUCGUGCCAGCAGCCGCCGUAA